AACGCUGGCGGCGUGCCUAAUACAUGCAAGUCGAGCGAACGGACGAGAAGCUUGCUUCUCUGAUGUUAGCGGCGGACGGGUGAGUAACACGUGGAUAACCUACCUAUAAGACUGGGAUAACUUCGGGAAACCGGAGCUAAUACCGGAUAAUAUUUUGAACCGCAUGGUUCAAAAGUGAAAGACGGUCUUGCUGUCACUUAUAGAUGGAUCCGCGCUGCAUUAGCUAGUUGGUAAGGUAACGGCUUACCAAGGCAACGAUGCAUAGCCGACCUGAGAGGGUGAUCGGCCACACUGGAACUGAGACACGGUCCAGACUCCUACGGGAGGCAGCAGUAGGGAAUCUUCCGCAAUGGGCGAAAGCCUGACGGAGCAACGCCGCGUGAGUGAUGAAGGUCUUCGGAUCGUAAAACUCUGUUAUUAGGGAAGAACAUAUGUGUAAGUAACUGUGCACAUCUUGACGGUACCUAAUCAGAAAGCCACGGCUAACUACGUGCCAGCAGCCGCGGUAAUACGUAGGUGGCAAGCGUUAUCCGGAAUUAUUGGGCGUAAAGCGCGCGUAGGCGGUUUUUUAAGUCUGAUGUGAAAGCCCACGGCUCAACCGUGGAGGGUCAUUGGAAACUGGAAAACUUGAGUGCAGAAGAGGAAAGUGGAAUUCCAUGUGUAGCGGUGAAAUGCGCAGAGAUAUGGAGGAACACCAGUGGCGAAGGCGACUUUCUGGUCUGUAACUGACGCUGAUGUGCGAAAGCGUGGGGAUCAAACAGGAUUAGAUACCCUGGUAGUCCACGCCGUAAACGAUGAGUGCUAAGUGUUAGGGGGUUUCCGCCCCUUAGUGCUGCAGCUAACGCAUUAAGCACUCCGCCUGGGGAGUACGACCGCAAGGUUGAAACUCAAAGGAAUUGACGGGGACCCGCACAAGCGGUGGAGCAU
rnacentral:rRNA from 1 species